AUUGAACGCUGGCGGCAGGCCUAACACAUGCAAGUCGAACGGAGUGGCGGACGGGUGAGUAAUGUCUGGGAAACUGCCCGAUGGAGGGGGAUAACUACUGGAAACGGUAGCUAAUACCGCAUACUCUCAUAUGAGCCUAGGUGGGAUUAGCUAGUUGGUGGGGUAAAGGCCUACCAAGGCGACGAUCCGUAACUGGUCUGAGAGGAUGAUCAGUCACACUGGAACUGAGACACGGUCCAGACUCCUACGGGAGGCAGCAGUGGGGAAUAUUGGACAAUGGGCGAAAGCCUGAUCCAGCCAUGCCGCGUGUGUGAAGAAGGUCUUCGGAUUGUAAAGCACUUUAAGUUGGGAGGCGUUACCAACAGAAUAAGCACCGGCUAACUUCGUGCCAGCAGCCGCGGUAAUUC
rnacentral:rRNA from 1 species